rnacentral:tRNA from 1 species
GUCCAGGCUAGCCUAGUGAACAUGGCACCUGCCCGGUAAGCAGAAGGUUGUGGGUUCGAUUCCCGCCCCUGGACA